GGGACUUAAAAUAAAACGGGUUAUGACAUUCCGAACCCACUAAGUGACUAGGAAUAUUAACCUAGUUAAUUAUGUGUAGUUAGAACAAUAAAGGAAACUAGAAAUAGUUAAACCUUUUAUAAAAACAAAACAUGAGGGGCUAAUAGUGCCAAAUGGAGAAAACUUAUUUAUUAAAACUAAAAAUAAAACACAACACACACUUGGUAAGUGUGUGUGUGCGCAGGAACGAUCAGAAGAACAGGGGGUUCUUUCAAAACCCUAAAGCACAUGAAAUCCAGCAAAAUCAAGGAGAAAUCGAGCAAAGAAAUUAGGGCUUUAACUAAAAUCGUGAUCACCAAGCUAAGGGGAUCGGAAGUUUGACUUUUGACAAGCUAGAUGGAGGCUUGGAAGGAAGCGGGUCAAACAAGUUAAGCAUGGAAGAAAAGCAUAGCUCGGAUGCAAGGAGCGAUUAGCAAUUCGGAUGAUUGCUUCGCCAAAGAAUAUGUGAUAAUAAAGGCGAGGUAUAAACCGGGUCUAAUUGUUAACCCGGGCCAGGUACUUUGUGGAAGCCGGAAGACGAUCAAGCUCAACGAAGAACCGAACACGAUAAUGAUACACGCUUCCGCACUUUGCUAUGUUGAAAUUUUUAAACAACGAAUUUGAUCACGAUAUGUAGAAUAACUUAUGAUUUAUAAAAGUUUUAAUAAACCCGUAUUUCCAAAUGUUUAUGUAAUCUUAAAUUACAUGAUUGUUUAACGUAAAA